GGUUGGAUAGGCUCAGCGGAAGAGCAUCCACUUUGCAUGCAGAAAGUCCCAGGUUCAAGCCCUGGCAUCUCCAGUUA
rnacentral:tRNA from 1 species